ACGAAGGGGGCGAGCGUUGUUCGGAUUUACUGGGCGUAAAGGGCGCGCAGGCGGCGCGACAAGCCAGGCGUGAAAGCCCCGGGCUUAACCUGGGAAUGGCGUCUGGGACUGUCGGGCUAGAGAUCGGGAGAGGAGCGUGGAAUUCCCAGUGUAGUGGUGAAAUGCGUAGAUAUCGGGAGGAACACCAGUGGCGAAGGCGGCUUCCUGGCCUGUUCUUGACGCUGAGGCGCGAAAGCUAGGGUAGCAAACG
rnacentral:rRNA from 1 species